rnacentral:rRNA from 1 species
GACGAACGCUGGCGGCGUGCCUAAUACAUGCAAGUCGACCUUAGUGGCGGACGGGUGAGUAACACGUGGGAACCUACCCAUCAGACGGGGGUAACCGGUGGCAACGGGCGCUAAUACUGCAUACUACCAGAUUAGCCUUGGUGGGAUUAGCUAGUUGGUGGGGUAAAGGCCGACCAAGGCGACGAUCCGUAACUGGUCUGAGAGGAUGACCAGCCACACUGGAACUGAGACACGGUCCAGACUCCUACGGGAGGCAGCAGUGGGGAAUAUUGGACAAUGGGCGCAAGCCUGAUGCAGCCAUGCCGCGUGUGUGAAGAAGGUCUUCGGAUUGUAAAGUACUUUCAGUUGGGAGGCGUUACCAGCAGAAGAAGCACCGGCUAACUUCGUGCCAGCAGCCGCGGUAAUAC